GCUAUCGCGAGAAUGUGACGCGUCGACUGUAUAAAAGACCUCCGCGUCGGUCAUGACGCUCUCUUGAAGUCGUUACCUUCGCUUUGCGAGAAACGUCUCCAACAUGAGAGCGAAGUGGAGGAAGAAGCGCAUGCGCAGGCUGAAGCGUAAAAGGAGAAAGAUGAGGCAGAGGUCCAAGUAAACUGCAACCUCUCUGCUGCAGCUGAGGUCCCGUUCAUCUUGGAUUCCCUUUGAGAGUCUUCUGGAAAAGUCCAUCUGAAGGUGCUGUCCAUCUCCUGUGAAGCCAGUCGAGUGUGAUGGAGAAAGCUUCCAUCUCCAGGCUGUCCAGUUGGGUGUUGGUCUUGACCUUAGAAGCUCUCUUGGACUUGCCAGUGCAGCGUCUUUUGUUAAUACCUGUUCAAUAAAAGUUUGGCUUAAAAUCUA